rnacentral:rRNA from 1 species
UACGAAGGGGGCUAGCGUUGCUCGGAAUCACUGGGCGUAAAGGGUGCGUAGGCGGGUUUUUAAGUCAGGGGUGAAAUCCUGGAGCUCAACUCCAGAACUGCCUUUGAUACUGAAAAUCUUAAGUCCGGGAGAGGUGAGUGGAACUGCGAGUGUAGAGGUGAAAUUCGUAGAUAUUCGCAAGAACACCAGUGGCGAAGGCGGCUCACUGGCCCGGUACUGACGCUGAGGCACGAAAGCGUGGGGAGCAAACAGG